GUUAAGAUAGAUUUCUUCUUGGUUUCCCCGAAAUUGCAAGCCAGGUAGUUCGAAUUGCAAAUUGUAGAUCCGAUAGCUAUAAAACGUCUAGCAAAAUCUCCGGGCGGCAUCAGUCGUCUUGGCGAAGUGUUGUUAGAAAGUGUUGUUUCCUGUGCAAAACGUGUGAAAGUUAAAAAUCGAAAUGAAAUUCCUGAUUAUGACCAUCUGCCUGUUCGUGCUGGCCUUCGCCCUGGUGUCGGCGGCAACCAACGAUGAAACUAUUCUUGGGAGCUACGGCGCCGAUGAGGUCGUAAACCCACAGGACCCCUCGGAAAUCCUCCUUCUGAAGAAGAAGCUCCUGCUGAAGAAGCUGCUGCACCUUGGUUAAGAAAAAACAACCUCACGCUCCCCAAUCGUGUGUGCCAUUCUUAGGUUAAUUGAAAAUACUGUUUAGGCUGUAAAAAAUUGUAGGCAAAACCCGGAAUCCAAUAUCCUACCACUAAGUGUUAAUCACAGUUAUACCAAUCAUUGGCUCAUCUUCAGUCCGGCCUCAAAACUGCCCCGUCAUGACAAUAGCAGAUAUGUACUGAAUAAUAUGCUCAAUAGACGCCACGCUUUUUGUGAUAAAUAGGAAA